UACGUAGGUGACAAGCGUUGUCCGGAUUUACUGGGCGUAAAGAGCGCGCAGGCGGUCGUUCAAGUCGAGUGUGAAAGCCCCCGGCUCAACUGGGGAGGGUCAUUCGAUACUGAUCGACUCGAAGGCAGGAGAGGGUAGUGGAAUUCCCGGUGUAGUGGUGAAAUGCGUAGAUAUCGGGAGGAACACCAGUGGCGAAGGCGACUACCUGGCCUGUUCUUGACGCUGAGGCGCGAAAGCUAGGGUAGCAAACGGG
rnacentral:rRNA from 1 species